UGGGCAGCCUUCACAUUAGGUUCUCUCCACUUUUUUUUUUGUUUGUUGACUUCUCUUAUUUAUAAGAGAAAAAUUCUAGCCUUGUAUUUAUAUUAGGGCUUAAAAAAAAUAAUAAUUUAUACAAGGCAUAAACCCUUUAAUGCAUAAUUUUUGUAUCACCAUCUAAACCCAAAAUACAACUAGGUAUUUAUUAACCAAAACAUUA
rnacentral:lncRNA from 1 species